rnacentral:rRNA from 1 species
UCUGGUGACGAUAGCCGAGUGGUUCCACCUGUUCCCAUACCGAACACAGUAGUUAAGCACUCGUACGCCGAAAGUACUUGUCUGGAGACGGACUGGGAGGAUAGGGCGUUGCCAGUUA